AGAGUUUGAUCAUGGCUCAGGACGAACGCUGGCGGCGUGCCUAAAACAUGCAAGUCGGACGGUUCCGCCGCGAGGCGGGGCCGUGGCGGACGGCUGAGUAACGCGUAGGAACCUGCCCGGGCGUGGGGGAUAACGGUCCGAAAGGGCCGCUAAGACCGCAUGUGGUCCCGCGGGAGCGGGAAGAAAGCCGCGAGGCGCGCUCGGAGGGGCCUGCGUCCGAUUAGCUAGUUGGCGGGGUAAUGGCCCACCAAGGCGAUGAUCGGUAGCUGGUCUGAGAGGAUGAUCAGCCAGACUGGGACUGGGACACGGCCCAGACUCCUACGGGAGGCAGCAGUUAGGAAUCUUGGGCAAUGGCCGCAAGGCUGACCCAGCAACGCCGCGUGGGGGACGAAGGCCUUCGGGUUGUAAACCCCUUUUCUCGGGGACGAUAGUGACGGUACCCGAGGAAGAAGCCCCGGCUAACUACGUGCCAGCAGCCGCGGUAAUACGUAGGGGGCGAGCGUUGUCCGGAUUCACUGGGCGUAAAGGGCGCGUAGGCGGUGCGGCGUGUCGGCCGUGAAAGCUCCCGGCUCAACUGGGAGAGGUCGGGCGAGACUGCCGCGCUGGAGGCAGGUAGAGGGCCGCGGAAUUCCGGGUGUAGUGGUGGAAUACGUAGAGAUCCGGAGGAACACCGGUGGCGAAGGCGGCGGCCUGGGCCUGGCCUGACGCUGAGGCGCGAAAGCGUGGGGAGCGAGUCGGAUUAGAUACCCUGGUAGUCAAGGGCGAAUUCGUU
rnacentral:rRNA from 1 species